rnacentral:antisense_RNA from 1 species
AACACGUAGUACACCACGCUCUGGCCCGCCGUGAAGUGCUGCUCCGCCGUCUCCAGGAAGCGCUCCAGGUACUUUUCCAGGUCUUCAGACUAAGAGGAACUGGACACCAGGAGCCUCAUACCAGGACUGCCCAGCCGAGCCACUCGAUUCCUGACCCACAUGGCCCUUGAGAUGACAAGUGAUUGCUGCUUAAAGUCACUGAGUUCUGGAGUAAUUUACAUCACGGCAAUAGGUAACUAAUGCAGAUUCUGGUACCUGGAAAAGGAGUGGUGACAUAAAACAGCUCUAUAGAUGUGGGCAUGGCCUCAGAACUGGCCACAGGCAGGAGCCGGAAGGACUCUGUGGAAAGCAUGAGUGUCUAAGGUGCUUUGAGAGACUGUAUAUAGAAGUCUCAUGGCCUUUAGGGAAGCUGCUGGGGAGGCCUAAAGGAAAGUGAGGAAACUCUUAGUGGAGAUUGGAAGAAACAGGGUCUCUGUUAUGAAAUAAAAGAACAUUUUGUAAAAAUGUGGUUGGUAGCAGAAAUGUAAGUUGAAUGUACCCCAUGAAGUGGGUGGUCUAGCUAAGGAGAUUUUCAGGCAGAAUGUGUAAGGUGUUGCUUGGCUUCUUACUGCUGCUCACAGUAAAAUAGGAGAGAGAGAAGGUAAAAACAAACAAAACUGUUCAACAUAAAGGAACCGGGAUCUGCUGGUUUUAAAAAUGCCCAGCCUCUCCAGAUGGCACAUGAUGCUAACAUUAAGAAAUGGUUUCUAGGCAAAGAUCAAAUUCAGGGCACAGUCAAGAAAACAUGGUCUACAGAUUAAACUUAGGAUGUGACUUAAAUCUUUUUGUUAAGACUUAAGAAAGAUCUAAAGUGAUGCCUCAAAGAGC